UACGGAGGGGGCUAGCGUUGUUCGGAAUUACUGGGCGUAAAGCGCACGUAGGCGGCUUUGUAAGUUAGAGGUGAAAGCCUGGGGCUCAACUCCAGAAUUGCCUUUAAGACUGCAUCGCUUGAAUCAUGGAGAGGCGAGUGGAAUUCCGAGUGUAGAGGUGAAAUUCGUAGAUAUUCGGAAGAACACCAGUGGCGAAGGCGGCUCGCUGGACAUGUAUUGACGCUGAGGUGCGAAAGCGUGGGGAGCAAACAGG
rnacentral:rRNA from 1 species